rnacentral:RNase_P_RNA from 1 species
UCACUCGGGCAAUCGCUGAUGUUUCGGCAUUAGAGGAAAGUCCAUGCUCGCACAAUCUGCGAUGAUUGUAGUGUUUAUGCUAGCCCAAUCAAUAAGGCUAGGUAGGGAAAAAACCUAACGGCUGACCAAUUACCUAAGGGAAACUAUGGUAAAAGGCUUUAAAAGUGUCACAGUGACGGAGUCUAUAGGGAAACUUAUAGAGUGGAACGAGAUAAACCCCAUAAGCGAGAAACCCAAAUUUGGUAGGGGAAUCUUUCAUGACUAACUUGAAGAAAUGAAAGGAUACUGAAAAGUAUAGAUAAAUGGUUGCCACCCGCAAGGGGACAGAACAUGGCUUACAGAG